GAUAGAGUGAGGUGGAAAAGGAUGAUUCGCUGUGGCGACCCCUGAUGGGAAAAGCCGAAAGAGAAAGAAGAAUGUGGGCUCGUUGUGCUUUGCCUUUGUGUCAGCAGCCAAGUACAACCUGAAUGAUGAAAGGAAGCACCCCAAACUGGAGUUAAUGAACAACUCUGCCACCAUCUUCAUCUUCUUCACUGUCCUCAUCAACAUCUUCAUCACAGCCCUGGGAUUUCAGGGCAGUACUGUCAGCCCCGCAUCGUUGACCCCCCUACAAAUGCCAAACUUCAUCCCCCUUCCAGGCGACCUGAACAGCACAGGAGGUCAUUAGACUGGAGCCUUUUUGGACCAAACCUUCACCCAAAACAUGACUGAGCCAUGUUUCAGCAGCAGGAAGCUUAAAACAUCAACAUUUCCCCUUUCAAAAUAAUAUAAAUGGACAGGUUUUGUUCGCCUCACUGAUGGAGACCAUAACAUGACUAUUUUGUUUUUCUCUAAAAUGUUUCCUCUAAAAUAAACUAAUAUUUUAGGUUUGCCCUGUUUCUGACCAUAUAAUGAACAAUUACUUUUUUAAAAGUAUGUAGUAAUUCAAGUAAUCACAAAAAUGUAUGUGUUUAUAAUAAGUAAUUAGAUUUGAGGAGUUUUUAUAAUGUUUUAAGCAUUUAUGGCAUUUAUUUAUUUUACUUUAAAUUUAAACUAAUGUGUGUGAUUGGUAUCGGACAACAGAAUUUCUCCUGAUGGGGAUGAAUUAAGUAUUAUCUAUCCAUCGAUUUAUCGGAUCCUUGGCUAUGUACAUUAAGAAAUCCAGUUUAAUUAUUAAAGGGGUAAUUUAAGAUGUUGAAA